rnacentral:lncRNA from 1 species
GCACCAGUCACCUCCCACGUUUUGGCAGGGGGUGUCCUUCUUUAGUACACAGGCCUCAGCGACUCUUCCUCACACCCAGAUUAAGUUAUCAAAUGAUUUCUGCCCGCUGUGGCCUGGCGCUUCCUGAGGGGAAAUGACACCAACCUGAGAGUUUGCUGGAAUCCUAGCCCAGGCCCACCUCCCAGGCGUAGACACCUGUGGGUGCUUUCCAGAAAGCAGACAGGAGGAAAAGGAAAUAGCUCCAACCUCCACUGACCGGUCCACGAGCCAGGAGUGAGUAGACACAAAUUUAGAUACGAACUUCAA